rnacentral:lncRNA from 1 species
CGCCACAAUCACCCAAACCCAGACGGCAGCACGAGCCAUGUCUCACCUUGGGAUCUCUCCUGCCACCACCGCCAGAGGAGGGGUCUCGGCCCCACGCAGCCUGGCCUGGCCUUCGGCUUCCACCCUAUAAGGGAGACCCAAGAGACAAGGUGACACCCACAGUGAGACGCCAUCGACUGGGCUCCUCGGGCGGUCGGGGAGCCUCUAGGACCCGUCCCCUGGCUUUCGGUCUCUCUGGGCCGCGGAGGACCAGCUGGGCCCCUGUGCAGGACGUCCAAGAGACCUUCCUAGCCAGAGCUGUCCCAUCCCUGGGACGCCAGAGCCCUUCUGGACUGCUGGCCUCGCCCGCAUCUGCCGCCCACCCUCCACCAGCCCCUCGCACUGCCCUGCCCAGCCCAGCCCCGACAAGCCCUGGGAUGCUGCUCACACUGGCCUUCUGGAUCCAGAGACAACGCUGCCAUCCUCGCCUGCUCAUCCAGGAAGGAGCCUGCCUUCGGGUCCGGCGGCUGCACACUGAGGAGUACAAAGCCAAGAGCAGGAGACCCAAUGGCACAGCCAUUCUCCAGGCUCGCGGCUUCCACACACACACCUGGCCAUAGCCUGGCAUGCGGCAUACCAUGGGGGUCACCAAGGACCUGGCAAAUGCCUUCACUCCCUUUCUCUCUAGAUUCAGUUCUCUGAUACUGCCGGACGGGUGCUCACAUUUUCCCAUUGGGCUAACACCAGGAAAACGCUGGAAUGCCCGUGCUCUGUCAGUCACCCUCGUCGUUUCCUGACCUCGGCCUAUUGGGUCACUGCUUUGUGGACAUUGAACCAGAUUCCUCCUUCAGUGGACCUCGGAGUUUCAGACAGGUUUUCAUCGUACAGGACGCAUAUGCCACCAGGAGUCAUCUUCAAUCCAAUACUGUCCCUCCUGCGUUCCUUUAGCUUGACCUUCUUUGUUGAUCAAUUUAUUAAAGGGCUGGGUAAGAUAUCAAUACCCUACCUGAACUUCCAGGGGUCCGUGGGAUGGGAAGGUCUCAUGAUACCUGUCACCAUGGACUGUGCAAUUUGGUCUUGCCUUUACUCCCUCUCCCUUUCGUUUCCUUUUCU